rnacentral:rRNA from 2 species
AGCAGCCGCGGUAAUUCCAGCUCCAAUAGCGUAUAUUAAAGUUGUUGCAGUUAAAAAGCUCGUAGUUGAAUUUCGAGAUCAAAUUGUUGGUCGUGCCUCGGUACGUACUGGCAUUAUUGAUUUCUCCCUUCUGAAGAACCACGAUGUCAUUAAUUUGGUGUCGUGGGGAAUCAGGACUGUUACUUUGAAAAAUUAGAGUGUUUAAAGCAGGCUCACGCUUGAAUACAUUAGCAUGGAAUAAUGAAAUAGGACGUUUGAUUCUAUUUUGUUGGUUUCUAGGAUCGACGUAAUGAUUAAUAGGGAUAGUUGGGGGCAUUAGUAUUCAAUUGUCAGAGGUGAAAUUCUUGGAUUUAUUGAAGACUAACUACUGCGAAAGCAUUUGCCAAGGAUGUUUUCAUUAAUCAAGAACGAAAGUUAGGGGAUCGAAGACGAUCAGAUACCGUCGUAGUC